UUUGAGUAAAUGCUCUCGAUUCUUAUUCACAAAGAAUAAUGAAACAAUUACAGGAGUGAGUACAAAUGAGGGGGAGGCUCUCUAUUUAUAGUUGAGCUCCCCCAAAACCGAUGGCUACAAUUAAAAGCUGUAUUCAAUUAGGACUCUAACUUUACAGAAUUAGAAGCUGUGUACAAUUAGAACUUCUAAGACUACUUAGUCCUAUCUUCAUUAUCGGGCCUAUCAGGCUUCAAUGUGACAGGCCUGUCCAACAGCUCUUUGAAUCGGGCCAGUUCUCGUAGGCCAAAUGAUCCCCAUCUGAGCAACAGACCUCCAUUGGAUGCAUUUGGUGCGCUUGUCACGGGCUUUGAACUGCGACCCGUGACAUUCUCCCCCACCCAUUCUCGCAACGCCCUCGUUGCGACUUCUGAAUGGCACUGACUUGAUUCACCUCGGUUUCGUCUCGUCGCCUUAGCCUUUCCCUUUCUUAGGGAUUUUUGCCUCGGUUUCUGUCGCUUCUUAACUCGAGCCGUCCUGCUCGUCGCAUUUACUCUGGUCAACUGUCCCACAUGCAUCGCUUCUUUUCCUUUGAAGUCUGAUGCACCACCUACCUCUCCCAUAGGUGGAAGCCUUGUCGAUGACUCGGCCAACUCCGAUGCUUCACUCAACUUGAGCCUCAUUGGUCUCAGCUUCACUGUUUUCAUCGCAACUUUCUCCACUAAGUUAGAUGACAAACUCACCUCUUCCUUGGGUGGAAGCCCCUUCGACGACUCACCAAGCUCAGACGUUGCCUUUCUUUCGACUCUGGCUUGCUUUGGACAGUUCCGCAACUCAUGCGGACCACGGCACAAGAAGCACUUAACUUGCUUCUUUCUGCUCCUCUUUGCCCUCUUGGCUUUAGCUUUACCCUUUCUCGAACCAAGCUUCUUGGGCUCAUUGUCUGCUCCAUCGUUCCCCUCGAUGACAGACUUCUUCGGACACUUCCGCAACCUAUGUGGACCAUGACACAAGAAGCACUCCACUGGCUUCUUCUCGCUUUCGGCCUUCUUGGCUUCGACACCCUUUGCGCUCGAACCAAGUACCAAGGCCUUACCCACCGGCUUCUCCUUAAGCGCGGAUUUCUUCAAACAUUUCUUCAACAUGUGUGGACCGACGCAGAGAAAGCAUUUUAGCUUGUCCCUUUUCCUCUUGGGUUUCUUCUUCCCAACUCGUGAUUUCCCAUUACCACCAUUGUCGCCGUUGUCAUUGCCAUUAACUCUAUCUUCCUUGUGAUCCAUUUCACAUACGCCCCUUCCAUCGGACUUGGAAGACCCAAGCUUGUCUUUCCCUAGACCAAGCUUCACCACGGACUCAACUACCGUCAUGGCUUCCGAUAGUUUUUGGACACCUCUUUGUUCCACCUCCUGUCUAACCCACGGCUUCAAUCCCUUUUGAAAAGCAAGCAAUGCUUCUUCAUCGGUCACAUCUGAAAUUUGGAGCAUGAGUUCCUUGAACUCUUGAACAUACUCCCUCACUGUGCCCCGUUGCAUUAUCUCUUGCAACUUUGCCCGAGCUUCUUCCUCGGCAAAUUCUGGGUAAAACUGUCCCUUCAACUCGCAUUGGAACUCUUGCCACGUCCCAAUCUCACCUUGCCUUUUAUUUGAGGUCCUACCUCGCCACCAUAAAAGCGCAAUGUCAGUAAGAAACAUUGAAGCAGUGUUUACCUUAACCGCAUCCUCCAUGAUGCCUUUGGCACGGAAGUAGUUUUCCAUCCUCCACAAGAAAUUAUCCACAUCACAUGCAGACCUUGUCCCCACAAACUCUUUCGGCUUUGGGACAUCCUCAUUACUGAGUGCUGCAUUUGCCACUCCUUUCCCCACGGCUGCUUGACACAAGGACAGCUCUCCCUCGAGCUCCUCUAUUCUUGUGCUCAAAGCCUUCGUCGUGGCCAUUGUUUCCUCCUUCAAAGCCAUCAUCAUGGCCUCGAGAGCAUCAUUCCUUUCCGACAGCUUAUCCCUGUGUGAAUUAAACAACUCGUUUACCUUGUCCAUGGUGGAAUCAAGAGACAUCUUUACAUAGUCUCUGGACUGCUCCUUCCAGUUUGCUAUGUGAUCCUCGACCCCAUCGAGUGCCUCCUUUACAUCCUCCAUGGAUCCCUCGAGUUUACCCACACGUUCCUCUACUGCCGAUAUUGUCUCCUUCAAAGACUUCCUCGCCCACCUUUGUUCGAACUCUUCUCUCGACAUCCUAACGGUGCCUUUGAACCAACAACUCAGAUAUCACUUGGUUCAACCCUUGGCUCGGAUACCACUUGUCACGGACUUGGAGUUUUCCCACACAUCCGUGCGGCCUUAGGCAGUUUCUUGGCUUAAAAACGCCUAAGUCAGCCUAACUUCCACCAAUAAUGGAUUCAACCGUAAAAACGCCUAAGUCAGCUCAACUCGCAACAAUAAAGGAUUCAACAGAAUUCCCUUAAAGUUUCCAUGAAGAACAGCGGAAGAACGAAUUAAGAACGAUCUUUGAAAGAUGAACAAAAGCAAGAACGCUUGAGAGAAAAGUUUGAGUAAAUGCUCUCGAUUCUUAUUCACAAAGAAUAAUGAAACAAUUACAGGAGUGAGUACAAAUGAGGGGGAGGCUCUCUAUUUAUAGUUGAGCUCCCCCAAAACCGAUGGCUACAAUUAAAAGCUGUAUUCAAUUAGGACUCUAACUUUACAGAAUUAGAAGCUGUGUACAAUUAGAACUUCUAAGACUACUUAGUCCUAUCUUCAUUAUCGGGCCUAUCAGGCUUCAAUGUGACAGGCCUGUCCAACAGCUCUUUGAAUCGGGCCAGUUCUCGUAGGCCAAAUGAUCCCCAUCUGAGCAACAGACCUCCAUUGGAUGCAUUUGGUGCGCUUGUCACGGGCUUUGAA
rnacentral:lncRNA from 1 species